AGAUCGAUGAUGACUCCCCCAUAAUGCAUUCCUUGGAAAAUCUGAACAAAAUGAGUGAGAACACCUUACCAUCAUUCCCAUCAGAUUGGAGGACC